CUCUCCGUCUCUCUCUAUCCGUCUCUCUCUAGCCGUCUCUCUAUCCCCGUCUCUCUCUAGCCGUCUCUCUCUAUCCGUCUCUCUCUAUCCGUCUCUCUCUAUCCGUCUCUCUCUAUCCGUCUCUCUCUAUCCGUCUCUCUCUAUCCGUCUCUCUCUGUUGUUCUCUAGCCGUCUCUCUCUAUCCGUCUCUCUCUAGCCGUCUCUCUCUAGCCGUCUCUCUCUAUCCGUCUCUCUCUGUUGUUCUCUAGCCGUCUCUCUCUAGCCGUCUCUCUCUGUUGUUCUCUAGCAGUCUCUCCCUAGCCGUCACUCUCUGUUGCUCUCUAGCCGUCUCUCUCUAGCCGUCUCUCUCUAUCCGUCUCUCUCUAGCCGUCUCUCUCUGUUGUUCUCUAGCAGUCUCUCCCUAGCCGUCACUCUCUGUUGCUCUCUAUCCGUCUCUCUCUAUCCGUCUCUCUCUAGCCGUCUCUCUCUAUCCGUCUCUCUCUAUCCGUCUCUCUCUAUCCGUCUCUCUCUAUCCGUCUCUCUCUAUCCGUCUCUCUCUAUCCGUCUCUCUCUAGCCGUCUCUCUCUAUCCGUCUCUCUCUAGCCGUCUCUCUCUAGCCGUCUCUCUCACACGCACACACACAUGUACGCAUGCAGUAAUUCCUAGAGAGGAUCUGUGUGAUUCAUAUCUCUGAAAGUAAAUGAUAUUCUUUGAGUAUCUCCUCUCUUUCUACGGUCAGGUAGAAAAUGAGACCAGCUUCCCUCCUGGUUUCCCGUCAUUGAUUAACCAGAUAUGUCUGAUAGCGGCAGAUAAAAAAAGUGGUUUAUUCAAUUUCUAAAGUGCUAGUCUUUUUUCUGAUGAGAAUGAGAAUGGAAGAGUAAGUGACAUAACUUUUACCAGAUGGAUAAGGUGAUUUGGUUUUAAAUACAGAAUGUUUGUUUUUCCCAUUUUGCCCUACAUGUAGCUUUGGUGUCUUCCACGUGGGAGACAAAUCUGCUGGAUGUUUGUACAUUGUGGAAUGAUUUUGCUGAGUAUGAGAACCUUAACUCCCUCCAUACAGCACAUACCAUACAAAAUACACCCCCCAUCAACCCCCUCUUUCUCUAAUA
ensembl:lncRNA